GACGAACGCUGGCGGCGUGCUUAACACAUGCAAGUCGAACGGAAAGGCCCUGCUUUUGUGGGGUGCUCGAGCGGCGAACGGGUGAGUAACACGUGAGUAACCUGCCCUUGACUUUGGGAUAACUUCAGGAAACUGGGGCUAAUACCGGAUAGGAGCUCCUGCUGCAUGGUGGGGGUUGGAAGGUUUCGGCGGUUGGGGAUGGACUCGCGGCUUAUCAGCUUGUUGGUGGGGUAGUGGCUUACCAAGGCUUUGACGGGUAGCCGGCCUGAGAGGGUGACCGGCCACAUUGGGACUGAGAUACGGCCCAGACUCCUACGGGAGGCAGCAGUGGGGAAUAUUGCACAAUGGGCGGAAGCCUGAUGCAGCAACGCCGCGUGCGGGAUGACGGCCUUCGGGUUGUAAACCGCUUUCGCCUGUGACGAAGCGUGAGUGACGGUAAUGGGUAAAGAAGCACCGGCUAACUACGUG
rnacentral:rRNA from 1 species